UAUUCUGCCCCACGGGGAAGGAUGAGAAGCUUCGACUAAGGUUCGACUCGAGCGAAGCGAGAGAACGUUGCCGCAGGCAACGGCCCGAAGGGCGAGGAGCGAUAGCGACGAGUUAUCCUUCCCCCACCACCA
rnacentral:sRNA from 7 species